GUACUCACCUGACAGGGGUGAUACCAUGAUCAUGAAGGUGGUUCACCCAGGGGAGGCUCAGCCAAUUCACUUCGGUGGUGCUGACCCUUGCGAAUUCCCUAAAUGCGGGAAUCUCGACUGCAUAAUUUCUGGUACUAGAGGACUUCUG
ensembl:snRNA U1 U1 spliceosomal RNA